rnacentral:rRNA from 1 species
UACGGAGGGUGCGAGCGUUAAUCGGAAUAAUUGGGCGUAAAGGGUCCGCAGGCGGGCUUUUAAGUGAGGUGUGAAAUCCUCGGGCUUAACCUGGGAAUAGCAUUUCAGACUGGAAGUCUAGAGUACUUUAGGGGGGGGGAGAAUUCCACGUGUAGCGGUGAAAUGCGUAGAGAUGUGGAGGAAUACCGAAGGCGAAGGCGGCCCCUUGGAAAUGUACUGACACUCAUGUGCGAAAGCGCGGGGAGCAAAGGGG